AUUGAACGCUGGCGGAAUGCUUUACACAUGCAAGUCGAACGGCAGCACGGGGGCAACCCUGGUGGCGAGUGGCGAACGGGUGAGUAAUACAUCGGAACGUGCCCGGUCGUGGGGGAUAACGUAGCGAAAGUUACGCUAAUACCGCAUACGAUCUGAGGAUGAAAGCGGGGGACCUUCGGGCCUCGCGCGAUCGGAGCGGCCGAUGUCAGAUUAGGUAGUUGGUGGGGUAAAGGCCUACCAAGCCGACGAUCUGUAGCUGGUCUGAGAGGACGACCAGCCACACUGGGACUGAGACACGGCCCAGACUCCUACGGGAGGCAGCAGUGGGGAAUUUUGGACAAUGGGCGCAAGCCUGGUCCAGCCAUUCCGCGUGCAGGACGAAGGCCUUCGGGUUGUAAACUGCUUUUGUAUGGAACGAAAAGGCUCUGGCUAAUACCUGGGGCUCAUGACGGUACCGUAAGAAUAAGCACCGGCUAACUACGUG
rnacentral:rRNA from 1 species